UCUUAGUAUUUGUGUUGAUCUUUGUGUGUUUAUUAUCGAUCAUGGGUGUUUUUGCUCACGAUGAUGAGAACUCCUCCACAUUGGCUCCAGCAAUAUUGUACAAAGCUCUGACCAAAGAUUCAGACAGAAUCAUCCCAAAGGUUCUUCCUGUCAUCCAGAGCAUUGAAACUAUUGAAGGAAAUGGUGGACCUGGAACCAUCAAGAAGCUAACAGCUACUGAAGGUCAGUGUACAUAAAUAUUAAUAAUGUUAAUUUCUCUUAAAACACGAGUCUUAAUCCUUUUGUCUGUAUGAGUUUGGUUAUUUGAUGUUUAACUUUCUUGGUUAACACUAUAGUUGGUUUUUGAGGUUUCUGAUGUUUUAUUAAUAGUUAGAUGGAGGAUUUUGGCCUAUUUAGAGGAGACUAAGGUUAAGAUUUAUUUUUUUUAAUAAGGAUUUGACCAUCUUGAAGUGGUUCAUAUUUAUUUAUUUUCUUUUAUUGAUAAAAAAAAUUAAUAAUGUUAACUUCUUUUUUGCUAAUAUUUACUUUUAGCAUAUGUUCGUUACAAAUUGAGUGUUGCAGAUCCAUAUCUAUAAGUAUGUGCAAAUCUCAUUUUAUAAAUCAAUUUUAUGGGAUUUAACUAGAUUUAAAAUUUACUCUGUGUUGAAUUUGAGUUAGGUUCUGAAAAGGGUUUGUUUUGAUUAUGCAUACAUACAUGUAAUUCAGAUUGUUUUAUUUAAAAUAAUUAUGAUCAAAGUUACUCUUCUUCACUGUACAUUUAUAUGUUUCUUACUUAGUAACAAAAGAUCAAAGUAAAUUUAACUCUAAACCUAUAGAUAAAACUCAAAAUUAAGUUUUUCUUUUUAGAAACUGAUUUCAAGCUAGCAAAGAAUAAGAAUGUUUUUAAUAGUAAAAUUUAUCAUAUUAAACUUUUUGAAGGGUAAGUUUUUGUAUUAUGAUUAAUGUCUUAAACUUUUAAUUUAUUAAUUUAUAUGAGAUCUGUUAGAAAAUGAGAUAGAUUUUCUGAAAGUUUUGUCGGGUAGACUUUUUAGUUAUUUUUAAGAAGGAUUUUCUUGAAAUAACUCUAUUUAUUUAUUUAUUUUUACUGAUAAAAAAAAAAGUUAGAUUUUAAAGAAAAGUAAGUAAAGAAAAUUAUGAUUUUUUGCAGGUGGCGUAACAGGUUUUGUGCUGCAGAGAAUCGAUGCAGUGGACGAAGCAAACCUGGGAUUCGACUACAGCAUAGUGGGAGGACCAGGGUUGCAUGAAAGUUUGGAGAAAAUCACACUUCAGACGAAGGUGGUGGCUGCUCCUGAUGGUGGCUCCAUCUCCAAGGUCUCUGUCAAAUACCACACCAAAGGCGAUGCACCUCUCUUAGAGGCAGUGCUCGAAGAGUCAAAGGCAAGAGGAACUGGUUUUUUCAAGGCUGUUGAGAGUUACGUGUUGGCAAACCCUGCAGAAUACUAGAUCCAUCUAUG
rnacentral:lncRNA from 1 species